ensembl:lncRNA
AUCUCCUGCCUCAGUUGCCCCCUUAGGCACCUGAGGUCUCACAUUUAGAUUGCUGGAAUCAGGCUGGCGAUGGAGCUCAGUGGUAGAUUGCUUUCCUAGCAUGUGUGGUGCUCUGGGUCCAAUGCCCAGCAGUGCUGAAGGGAAAAGAGGAAAGCAAUCAGCAGCCCCCUGACAUAGAUCACAGGCCCCAUCCGCUGUCCUCUACCCUGUUGUACAUUCUGUGGGUUUUGCUAAAUAAGAAUUACAGGAGGUCAUUGUUUUGGACCAAGUUCCUGUACUAGGCCCCUACAGACCAGACUAAAAAUCAAAAUGGAGUCACUCAUACUAAAGUUCUGUGUCACCAAGCUGAAAAUACACUACUUAUCUAACCUCCUCAGAGAAAGGAUUAGAGAGAUAACAGCCAGAUUUCCCAAACAGCCCACUUUCCAUUGGCAUGAUAAUGAAGUUCCUUUGCCUUAAUCCUUUCACAAAGAUGGUAAUUUAAAGUAACUGCUGCUAACCAACCAAUUUAAAAAAAAAAAAUUCUGUCUCUCUGUCCCCAUCUUAUAAGGAAAGGAAUUUUGAAAUGACUAAGUCACUUUUUAUUUUUUGUGUCUGCUUUCUUCAGUCCUUCUUUGCCUAUAAAACCACCUUCUGCAGUUUGGCUAUUGGAACAUUUGCUCUACUUUAUGAAACUGUUACUGAAAUUCUAGGCCAGAGGCCCAGCUCUGGUGGCCCCAACAGCCUCCAGCAUUCAGUUAGUGAGACAAAUGUGGUGAAGUAGGAAAGGAAUUUAUUCAGUGUGGCCAUAUGCAGAAGAACAGGGGGACCUAUGUCCCAAGGCCUAUCUUGAGGGUACCAACAAGAAGAGGGAUUAUAAAAGUGGGGAGAGUGAGAAGUAUGCAUAGUCAAGCAGUUGUGAUCCAACUGUGGUCUGGUUAAUCAUUAACUCGGUCUGGCUCCAAGAGAUCUUACUGGAGAAAUCAUUAUUGCUUUAGGGGCAAUUCCAUUCUGGUCAUGAGAUAAUUGCUCAUGCCUGGAGUGGGGAUGUGGCCUCAGUUCCCAUCACAGGGUAUAAGCCAACAGCCUCACUGUUUCUGGAAGGACCUGAGAGAUCAGGCCAGAGCAGCAAAAUGGAGUCAGUCAGGACAAUGGCUGGAUCUUCCUUCAGGCCAGAGACAAAAACCUCUGAGGAUGACUGAUGCUGGGACUUCCCAGGCAAUGCCAGAAGACACAGACUAAAGAUCCAGGCUCCCUUCAGACCCACCUCCAUCCUUUCCUCCUGGGAAUAACUAUGUCGACGGUUUCCAUAAUGCAGGCAUCUCAGACUUCUCAGCAUCUGCUCAAUGCAGGCUCCUUUAGAACCCCAGAAGAAAUAUCAUCCAAUAACCAGCAAAUAUCCCUGGCCUCCCCAGAAUGCAGUGUUGCCAGUGACCCUGGUGGUAAUGACCCUCAGAGGAAAAUCUGAGCAAGCACAGAGCCAGCUGGGGAAAACUCCCCACCCCAGGAGGUGUAGCCCUGAGACUUCAAAGGGCACACUGCCUGCCUCUUUGGCCUAGCAGCAAUUAGAAUUCUUCCUCCGCAUCAAGUGCACAGAGAUGAGACAGGUGGAGAUGCACUGAAGAUCUGUCUUCAGCCAGCACCCCAGCUUUCACUAUGGUGACUCUCAGGACACAACAUGACACUUGGCCUCCAUUCCACGCUUGGGUCCCCAGUGGAGGAUGAAUUCAUAUCCACAGCAGCACAAAGCCUGAGCUCCAGCCAGUCUCCAAGUUGGAGUCUGUCCUUCGGUGUCAUUGAUUUGGGUCCUGCUUGGCAUGGGG